CGAUCCGGAACUCGAGAGGCAGAGAGGACGGCUCUUAACCGUCUGCGUAAGGGUUCGAGCCCCUUCGGAUCGACCA
rnacentral:tRNA from 1 species